rnacentral:snoRNA from 14 species
UCUGCCGGUAGAGGCAUCGUAGGUGUGGCUGCUGUGUCACUUGUGUGUCAGUAGGUGGUAGAGAGGAGAGAGGCUACCUCAGUGUUCUGACCUAUUCAUCUGAAUGAUUAGGUAAACCUGACAUU